rnacentral:SRP_RNA from 1 species
GCCGGCGCGGUGGCGCUCGCCUGUAGUCCCAGCUACUCGGGAGGCUGAGGCAGGAGGAUCGCUUGAGCCCAGGAGUUCUGGGCUGUAGUGCGCUAUGCCGAUCGGUGUCCGCACUAAGUUCGGCAUCAAUAUGGUGACCUCCCGGGAGCGGGGGACCACCAGGUUGCCUAAGGAGGGGUGAACCGGCCCAGGUCGGAAACGGAGCAGGUCAAAACUCCCGUGCUGAUCAGUAGUGGGAUCGCGCCUGUGAAUAGCCACUGCACUCCAGCCUGGGCAACAUAGCGAGACCCCGUCU